rnacentral:rRNA from 1 species
CUGUGGAUCAGUGGCGAACGGGUGAGUAACACGUGAGCAACCUGCCCCUGACUCUGGGAUAAGCGCUGGAAACGGCGUCUAAUACCGGAUAUGAGCUGCGAUCGCAUGGUCAGCAGUUGGAAAGAUUUUUCGGUCUGGGAUGGGCUCACGGCCUAUCAGCUUGUUGGUGAGGUAAUGGCUCACCAAGGCGUCGACGGGUAGCCGGCCUGAGAGGGUGACCGGCCACACUGGGACUGAGACACGGCCCAGACUCCUACGGGAGGCAGCAGUGGGGAAUAUUGCACAAUGGGCGAAAGCCUGAUGCAGCAACGCCGCGUGAGGGAUGACGGCCUUCGGGUUGUAAACCUCUUUUAGCAGGGAAGAAGCGAAAGUGACGGUACCUGCAGAAAAAGCGCCGGCUAACUACGUGCCAGCAGCCGCGGUAAUACGUAGGGCGCAAGCGUUAUCCGGAAUUAUUGGGCGUAAAGAGCUCGUAGGCGGUUUGUCGCGUCUGCUGUGAAAUCCCGAGGCUCAACCUCGGGUCUGCAGUGGGUACGGGCAGACUAGAGUGCGGUAGGGGAGAUUGGAAUUCCUGGUGUAGCGGUGGAAUGCGCAGAUAUC